rnacentral:rRNA from 1 species
GACGGGUGAGUAAUACGGAGGAAUCUGCCCUAGAGUGGGGGAUAACCUGUCGAAAGACGGGCUAAUACCGCAUAAUCUCUAAGGAGCAAAGGUGGCUAGCAAUAGCCUUCGCUUUAGGAUGAGCCUACGUCGGAUUAGCUAGUUGGUAGGGUAAUGGCCUACCAAGGCGACAAUCCGUAGCUGGUCUGAGAGGACGAUCAGCCACACUGGAACUGAGACACGGUCCAGACUCC